ensembl:lncRNA
ACUGCUUUCAAUUUUCAGUAAAAACUUGGAAAAGGCAAUGAUACAGCUGUAUGGGUACUGUUGAAUCAUGGUCUGAACCUCUGAUUGAUCAGCUGAGGCGAGCACUGAGCCAGCCGUGGGAGCACAGGUGAAGGCAAUUCACCUGUGUGACCAGAAGGGGUAGAGCCUGGCUCCACCUCUUCUAGACCCCAUAUAAGGGCUGACUGCCACUGGGGAAGGGUCUCUUUCUGGAUAUUGCUGCUCUUGGAGUUUUCUCAUGAGCCUACAACACAGAUUGUGAAGCAGCUCUCCAACAAGAAGAGAAACGCAAUACCUGAACCCAGGAACUCUUUCAGCAUUCAGUGAACCGCAGAAAGAUUUAGGAAAGAGGAAAGCAGAAAUGGGUGUGCUUUUUCCAUUUGUUUCAUGCGACAGAAGUUUCCUAGGAAGGGCCAGUCCUGUAAGAAAAGUAGCGGACAAAAUUACAUGGAUGAUACAGAUGGAGGGAGCACACAGGAAGAAGAGAAUGUUGUAUUACUGAGUUUGGACUCUCAGAGUAUGUUUGACGUAAAUUUAUGCUUGCAUCUACUUAUCAACACGUAAUUGCCUCUAAUGAAACACAUACUUGAUAAGAUGAAAGGGAAUGCAUUGUGAUGUGGUUCUUUAAAAUCUGGGCUGACCUGAGCUUUUAUCUACAGGAAUGAUCAGAGGGGAAGGGACCUAGAGUCUGCCAAACUUUCAAGGGGAAGGUCAAGUGUUUGGCACACCAAACAAAGAAGAACUGUUUGGAUAAUGUAUAGAAGGAAGAGGAAAGGUGGAACUGGCAGCAGGGAAGCAAGUGGUUACAAUAGCAGGAAUGGGACUUAAUUUAUCUCUGUAAAAUGGAAUAAAAUCUGUUGUUAGAUAGCCAACUAGAUGGUAUGUUUCACUGAGAUUUUCCUGAAUUGAAACUGGCCUUUGUAUACUUUGAAAGGUGUUCUGUGAUCUUUAAAAGGAGAGUGAGCUGGCCAUAAGACAAGCCAAUAGAGUCCGCUUUACGGUACUAAAAAAGAUAGCUAUGUGUGACCCAGUUAAUUUUCACAUCUCUUCUCUUAAGAAACUGCUCCAUCAAAUAAUCAACUUUCUUUUUUAAUUUUGAAAUGGAAGAAACAGAAUAUGCUUCAUGGAACAUUUCUUUAAAAAAAAAGCCUUUUAAUAAAAAAAAAGGGAAAAAAGAAAAACAACACAUUUGCUGUGUGUAUCCAGCUAUCUGUGCUUUCUGUCACUUUGAACACUUUGGCCACCAGGUGUGGUCAGUGUUUUUGGACACUCCUAUCCGUCCCCAUGACCUUCUUAAUAUCUCUUCAUCCAAAUUGUUGCUGCUGCAUUUAUUCUUAGCAUUCAUAUAAAACAAUCCACUUUCAGAGUCUAUAUUCUCACAAAGACCCUUGAGUUAAUGGUGUAUGGAAAUUUCCACAGGGGUCUGCCUAUAAUGACUUCCAACUCACUAUUCCCAGAUUUGAGUUAGUAAAUCAGAAAGAUAUUUUCUUAUGUUUUUGGUGGGGAGGAGGAAUGACAGAGAGGAGAGAGAGAUCGCUGUUAAGUUUAGUAAAUGUAACCUCUUUGGCACUGCUUUUCCAUAUGCAGAGACCAAAUUCUUCCUUAUUCAUUUGUAAUCUUUUUGUUUUGCCCCACCCUUUUCUUCCCACCCUCUCAGUUAUGGGCAGGACCAAAUAUUAUGCUUAGUUGGCUCAUUGUGGAGUGAAAUAGAUUUUUAGUGGAGUUAAUUAAUGGAAUUUCUUUUACAUUUACAAUUACAUAGUUAAUGAAAGGGUCUGACCUCGGGAAGAUGCAUUGCCUUUUUUUGCUUUUGCUGAGCAUUGUUCCCAGUGACACAGCAGCCAUGUACAAAGGGGAAAAUAUAAAUUGCUUUUAAAGUGACAAAGUAAUGUAUUAAAAAAAAAAAAGAACAUUUAGUUUUGAAAACACAAAUCUUUCACUGAAUAAAUAUUUAUCUUGACUAUUUAUAAUGUCAAGUCAAGCGUAAGUGGUAUUAAUUUUGCAUGAAGGGAAGCCAAGUCUAGAAAUCCUAAGCAAAAUCUUGAGAUUGCAGAAAUGUUGAGUUCAAUGGAACAGCAGAUGUCUGAGCAGCGUGAAUGUUAAUUUUGCAGGGUAAGUCCAGUUUUGCUGGAUAAAGCAAUGAAAAUAUUUCACGUAACAGCUUUCAGUUAGUAGAGGUUUUGAAAUGUCUGAUUUUAUUUGUGUGAAAUUUAAG